GACGAACGCUGGCGGCGUGCUUAACACAUGCAAGUCGAACGAAGAGCGACGGAAGCUUGCUUCUCUCAAUCUUAGUGGCGAACGGGUGAGUAACGCGUAAUCAACCUGCCCUUCAGAGGGGGACAACAGUUGGAAACGACUGCUAAUACCGCAUACGAUCUAAUCUCGGCAUCGAGGAUGGAUGAAAGGUGGCCUCUACAUGUAAGCUAUCACUGAAGGAGGGGAUUGCGUCUGAUUAGCUAGUUGGAGGGGUAACGGCCCACCAAGGCGAUGAUCAGUAGCCGGUCUGAGAGGAUGAACGGCCACAUUGGGACUGAGACACGGCCCAGACUCCUACGGGAGGCAGCAGUGGGGAAUCUUCCGCAAUGGACGAAAGUCUGACGGAGCAACGCCGCGUGAGUGAUGACGGCCUUCGGGUUGUAAAGCUCUGUUAAUCGGGACGAAAGGCCUUCUUGCGAAUAGUGGGAAGGAUUGACGGUACCGGAAGAGAAAGCCACGGCUAACUACGUG
rnacentral:rRNA from 1 species